GUUGGGGACGAUGACGGCGGCCCGGCGGCCAUCGACAGCCGUGAGCUGAAGCACCCCGCCGUCCUUGCUGAAGCGGACGCGCUCGACCUUGCCCUUCUUGACGGCAUCGAGGAACUCGCUGUAGCGCCACUGGGAGCCCUCGGGGAGGUCCGAGGACGUCUGCGGCCUGGGGGCCGUGAGGAGGGACUGGGCGAAGGGGUUGUCGGGCUUGGAGGCGGCAUCGAACUGGACGGCGGGCGGCGAAGUGGGAGGCGGGACCGGGGCGACGUCCUCGGCGAUGGCGACCGGGGGGAGGGAGGAAAGGAGGAAGGCGGCGGCCGCGGCAACGGAAGGGGACAGGGUGAGGCGGUUGUCGUUGCUAUUCUUGUUGCGAUCGAGGAGUGAUCGAAUGGAGUUGGUUCGUCUCGGGAGGAGGAGGAGGAGGGUAGGGUUGGGCGUGGAUUUCGGACGGAG
rnacentral:lncRNA from 1 species